rnacentral:rRNA from 1 species
GAAGGGUGCAAGCGUUACUCGGAAUUACUGGGCGUAAAGCGUGCGUAGGUGGUUCGUUAAGUCUGUCGUGAAAGCCCCGGGCUCAACCUGGGAAUGGCGAUGGAUACUGGCGGGCUAGAGUGCGGUAGAGGAGAGUGGAAUUCCCGGUGUAGCAGUGAAAUGCGUAGAGAUCGGGAGGAACAUCMGUUGCGAAGGCGGCUCUCUGGACCAGCACUGACACUGARGCACGAAAGCGUGGGGAGCAAACAGGAUUARAUACCCUGGUAGUCCACGCCCUAAACGAUGCGAACUGGACGUUGGGAGCAACUAGGCUCUCAGUGUCGAAGCUAACGCGUUAAGUUCGCCGCCUGGGGAGUACGGUCGCAAGACUG